CUUAACACUGUUCAUCAAGCUUCCAUAACACUGCUUUUGUGCGCGCCCUUUUUUCCUUCCUUCGCUCAUACUGCUCUCUUCUUCUGCCUUCCUUCUUUCCCAUUCCAAUCUUACCUUCUACCCUAAAUUUCUCCUUUUUUUCUUAAGUUUCUCAUUGGACAAAAGGAAAGGCAAGACAAAAUCAGGCAAGGGUUCAGGCCAGCUCUCUUUCUCCGGCCACCAACUGUGAGUUCCGAUCAUGCCGGUGCUGAGGAUGACUUUGUGUUUUAUUUUGGUUUCUUUUGAACUUUUGGUGAAUUGAAAGAUGAAAUUGGUUUCUUUGGUAAGGAUGACUUCGAUUAUGUUGUUAUAUUGGUUUCUUUUGAAUUUUUGAGAGAUUGAAAUAGAAAUGAUGAAAUUGAGUUCUACCUAUGAAAUGCAGAUCCAAUACCCACAAGAGUCAAGAAUUUGUGAAAAGACCAGAUGUGAUAAUAAAUGCAAAAACACAAAUGUUGUUUUGUAGGAACAGAAGAACAGUGUAAAACCCAUAAACUAUAGAGUACCAGUUAACCAUUACAGAAAUUAUAUUCAAAGAAUAUACCACACCCUCGUAGUUGAGUUUCAACUUUGAGAUACUAUCUAAAAAUUUGAACUUUAAAAUAUUUUUUAAAAAAACUCUUAUCCACUUCCAAAGCUUAAAAACCUUAUAAUGGUUGCUGGCCAUUCCGUUUAUACAAGUAGUAAUUGUGGAAAAAUUGACAAUGAGAAAUCUUGGUUUUUGGAGUCUUAUCAAAAGCAUCUUGGUCAAGCUGCCACAUUUUUGGCUCAUAUAAAGGAGGGUAUUAAUGUUUCUGCAAAGGAUGAUCAAGCAUUGUUGUUGUUUAGUGGGGACGAGACUCGAAAGGAUGCCGGUCCUCGAAGUGAAGCCCAGUUAUUGGCUUAUUGCAGAAUCAAAAGGGUGGUUUGGUGACAAUGAAUAUGUUUACAUCUAUCGAAUAUCGUCGGUUUAAUCUGUCUUGUUUUUACGGUUCUUUUUUAUUUGCUCAAUCAUGAUCUUUGUGUACUUAAUUUACUGAGAUUUGAACAAUUAUUGACCGUAACAAGUAUACAAUCAACAUUUUAGAGAAAUCAUUAUGGUCUGAGUUACAUGGGGAUACUUGCUCAAGUAUUUUUCCAUUGGUACUGCCGUACUGCUAACCUAAGUUUCGGGUUGAUAAAGUAAACAAUUAGGAAGAAAUAGUUCGAAUGAAGACCCAAUAAAUAAUUGCAUAGAGAAUGAAGAUUACAACAAAACCUUUUUUAUUAGGAAUAAAUAAUACUACUUUGGAUGAACACCCAAUAAAUAAUUGUGUAAAGAAUAAAGAUCAAAACGAAACUUAUUUCUCCAUAUCACCAUUACAAUAAAAUGUAGGGAUUGAUUUUCUUUCACAUUCUAGGAGGUGAAUGAAAAAAUACGGGUUGUAUUGAGUUUUUGGGAUUAUGGUGCUUUAGAUAAAGAAUGUUAUGGUGCUUUAGAUUUAGAUUAUCACUAUCUGAACAUGUCACAGGUAAGAUUGAACAAUACUUUUGGUGAAAUUGAUGAUUUUUUAGAAAACAGGUUGGCAACAUUUAUAUAUGUAAUAUGAAGGUAUGAACUUUAAGGAAAAUGUCAUGGAUGGAGUGUAUUAUCUCGAAAAUGGUUAUAUCUUGCAGACUAACAAUGCAACUAUUUGAUUAUGACACUGUCGUUUAUCAUUUUGAUUUCUAUAUUUGCUAAUGCAUAGAUUUGUCUUAUGGAUCAAAGUGUUAUUUAUUGGAAACGUGCAAGAAAUAAAAUUUCUAAGUAGAGGUACGAGCCAAUAAAUGCACACCAAGGUACUUUAUACGGACAAUGCAAUUGUGAUGAAUAACACUACUUUUUCAUAUAUUCAAUUGUGUAUCAUUAAAAUCCUUUUAAUGUUAAUAUAGUCAUAAUUGAAUAUAACUUUUUGAUGUUCUUUUACUUCUCAAAACAAUGAU